rnacentral:lncRNA from 1 species
AUCCCUUAAUUUGGGUCUAAAUCCCCCAAACCGGACCCCAAAUCCCUUAAUUUGGGUCUAAAUCAAAUAAACCGGACCCCAAAUCCCUUAAUUUGGGUCUAAAUCCCCUAAACCGGACCCCAAAUCCCUUAAUUUGGGUCUAAAUCCCCUAAACCGGACCCCAAAUCCCUUAAUUUGGGUCUAAAUCCCCUAAACCGGACCCCAAAUCCCUUAAUUUGGGUCUAAAUCCCCUAAACCGGACCCCAAAUCCCUUAAUUUGGGUCUAAAUCAAAUAAACCGGACCCCAAAUCCCUUAAUUUGGGUCUAAAUCAAAUAAACCGGACCCCAAAUCCUUUAAUUUGGGUCUAAAUUAAAUAAACCGGACCCCAAAUCCUUUAAUUUGGGUCAAAGUGAGAGGAUCAUUUUUUAAUUGAGGCAAAUCCAGUUUAAUUAUCCGCAAGAAUUAAAAUUAUUGGGAAGGGGACAUAAAAAAUCCCCAAAAGCGAAGAACCGCGGCCACCACCCCCUGUCCUGUCCUGUCACCUGUCACCUGUCCCCUGUCACCUGACCCCUGUCACCUGUCCCCUGUCCUGGUGGCAACCAUGGCUCUGUCCCCUUGUCCUAGCCACGGUGGCCAUGGUGGCCAUGGUGGCUACAGUGGCUGUGGUGGCCUUGGUGGCCUUGGUGGCCUUGGUGACCAUGGUGGCCUCAGUGGUCACAGCGGCCAUGGUGGCCAUGGUAGCUGUGGUGACCAUGGUGACCUUGGUGGCCUUGGUGGCCACAGUGGCUUUGGUGGCCUUGGUGGCCAUGGUGGCCAUGGUGACCACGGUGGCCUUGAUGGCUACAGUGGCCUUGGUGGCCAUGGUGGCAUUGGUGGCCUUGGUGGCCUUGGUGACCUUGGUGACCAUGGUGGCCUCAGUGGUCACAGCGGCCACGGUGGCCAUGGUAGCUGUGGUGACCAUGGUGACCUUGGUGACCUUGGUGACCACAGUGGCUUUGGUGGCCUUGGUGGCCUUGGUGACCUUGAUGGCCAUGGUGGCCUUGGUGGCCUUGGUGGCCACAGUGGCUUUGGUGGCCUUGGUGGCCACAGUGACCACGGUGGCCAUGGUGGCAUUGGUGGCCAUGGUGGCCUCAGUGGUCACAGCGGCCACAGUGGCCACAAUGGCCAUGGUGACAGUAGUGACUCCAGUGGCCCAGUACCCACGGUGGCCAAAGUGACCACAGUGACAGUGGUGGCCUUGGUGGUGGCCUUGUGGCUCAGGGGGUCCUGGUGGCCUUGGUGA